UUCACUUUUCAAAGCCAAAAC
rnacentral:piRNA from 1 species